rnacentral:rRNA from 1 species
GAGCGGGGAAAAGUAGCUUGCUACUUAACCUAGCGGUGGACGGGUGAGUAAUGCUUAGGAAUCUGCCUAUUAGUGGGGGACAACAUCUCGAAAGGGAUGCUAAUACCGCAUACGUCCUACGGGAGAAAGCAGGGGACCUUCGGGCCUUGCGCUAAUAGAUGAGCCUAAGUCGGAUUAGCUAGUUGGUGGGGUAAAGGCCUACCAAGGCGACGAUCUGUAGCGGGUCUGAGAGGAUGAUCCGCCACACUGGGACUGAGACACGGCCCAGACUCCUACGGGAGGCAGCAGUGGGGAAUAUUGGACAAUGGGGGGAACCCUGAUCCAGCCAUGCCGCGUGUGUGAAGAAGGCCUUUUGGUUGUAAAGCACUUUAAGCGAGGAGGAGGCUACCGAGAUUAAUACUCUUGGAUAGUGGACGUUACUCGCAGAAUAAGCACCGGCUAACUCUGUG